rnacentral:rRNA from 1 species
AGCUCCAAUAGCGUAUACUAAAGUUGUUGCAGUUAAAAGCUCGUAGUUGGAUUUCUGGUUGCAGUCGUCGGUCGUUCCCAAACGGGUUCCGUACCUGAUGCGCUGUGUCCAUCCUCGGAGUUCUGCCGUCUGGCAUUAAGUUGUUGGGCGGACGGUCUCCGUCAUUUACUGUGAGCAAAAUAGAGUGUUCAAAGCAGGCUUAGGCCAUGAAUACAUUAGCAUGGAAUAAUAAGAUAGGACCUUGGUCUAUUUUGUUGGUUUACAUUCCAAGGUAAUGAUUAAUAGGGAUAGUUGGGGGUAUUCGUAUUCAAUUGUCAGAGGUGAAAUUCUUGGAUUUAUGGAAGACGAACUACUGCGAAAGCAUUUACCAAGGAUGUUUUCA